GAUGAACGCUGGCGGCGUGCCUAAUACAUGCAAGUCGAGCGAACAGACGAGGAGCUUGCUCCUCUGACGUUAGCGGCGGACGGGUGAGUAAAACGUGGAUAACCUACCUAUAAGACUGGGAUAACUUCGGGAAACCGGAGCUAAUACCGGAUAAUAUAUUGAACCGCAUGGUUCAAUAGUGAAAGACGGUUUUGCUGUCAAUUAUAGAUGGAUCCGCGCCGCAUUAGCUAGUUGGUAAGGUAACGGCUUACCAAGGCGACGAUGCGUAGCCGACCUGAGAGGGUGAUCGGCCACACUGGAACUGAGACACGGUCCAGACUCCUACGGGAGGCAGCAGUAGGGAAUCUUCCGCAAUGGGCGAAAGCCUGACGGAGCAACGCCGCGUGAGUGAUGAAGGUCUUCGGAUCGUAAAACUCUGUUAUUAGGGAAGAACAAAUGUGUAAGUAACUAUGCACGUCUUGACGGUACCUAAUCAGAAAGCCACGGCUAACUACGUG
rnacentral:rRNA from 1 species